GACGAACGCUGGCGGCGUGCCUAAUACAUGCAAGUAGAACGCUGAAGGAGGAGCUUGCUUCUCUGGAUGAGUUGCGAACGGGUGAGUAACGCGUAGGUAACCUGCCUGGUAGUGGGGGAUAACUAUUGGAAACGAUAGCUAAUACCGCAUAAUAGCAGUUGUUGCAUGAUAACUGUUUGAAAGGUGCAAUUGCACCGCUACCAGAUGGACCUGCGUUGUAUUAGCUAGUUGGUGGGGUAACGGCUCACCAAGGCGACGAUACAUAGCCGACCUGAGAGGGUGAUCGGCCACACUGGGACUGAGACACGGCCCAGACUCCUACGGGAGGCAGCAGUAGGGAAUCUUCGGCAAUGGACGGAAGUCUGACCGAGCAACGCCGCGUGAGUGAAGAAGGUUUUCGGAUCGGAAAGCUCUGUUGUAAGAGAAGAACGAGUGUGAGAGUGGAAAGUUCACACUGUGACGGUAUCUUACCAGAAAGGGACGGCUAACUACGUG
rnacentral:rRNA from 1 species